rnacentral:misc_RNA from 1 species
GAAAUUCUCCCUCUUUUCUCUCUAGAAAAGAUGGAAGAAUUGAAGUUUCAGUAAAAAAAAGGCGGCCAUGAUUGACAUAAUUUCAGUGAAGAACAAGAAGAAGCUCACCAAAAUUUUCUCUUCUUUUGUAUCGUCGACGCCUUUAAGGCUUUAAGGUCCACUGGUCCACGCUCUCUUCCCUGACCCACCAUUAAACCUCGAUCUCUGUUCUUCU